GGGUGGGCUAUAGCCUUGGUGGGGGGCGUGAGCGAAGUUCGUCCGCGGGACUCGGAAUGGCACCAGACUUGGCGGGCGGACUCCGUGUGCCAAAAAUAGGCCACGGGCACAGCCGCGCCCAAAAACAGCCCCCGAAGUUCGGGCUCCCAAGACCCCCCAGCGGAAAAAUGGCCAAAAAACGGGUGGGCUAUAGCCUUGGUGGGGGGCGUGGGCGAAGUUCGUCCGCGGGACUCGGAAUGGCACCAUACUUGGCGGGCGGCCUCCGUGUGCCAAAAAUAGGCCACGGGCACAGCCGCGCCCAAAAAACAGCCCCCGAAGUUCGGGGUCCCAAGACCCCCCAGCGGAAAAAUGGCCAAAAAACGGGUGGGCUAUAGCCUUGGUGGGUGGCGCCCAAAAGUUCGUCCGCGGGACUCGGAAUGGCACCAGACUUGGCGGGCGGCCUCCGUGUGCCAAAAAUAGGCCACGGGCACAGCCGCGCCCAAAAAACAGCCCCCGAAGUUCGGGUUCCCAAGACCCCCCAGCGGAAAAAUGGCCAAAAAACGGGUGGGCUAUAGCCUUGGUGGGUGGCGCCCAAAAGUUCUUCCGCGGGACUCGGAAUGGCACCAGACUUGGCGGGCGGCCUCCGUGUGCCAAAAAUAGGCCACGGGCACAGCCGCGCCGAAAAAACAGCCCCCGAAGUUCGGGGUCCCAAGACCCCCCAGCGGAAAAAUGGCCAAAAAACGGUGGGCUAUAGCCUUGGUGGGGUGCGUGGGCAAAGUUCGUCUGCGGGACUCGGAAUGGCACCAGACUUGGCGGGCGGCCUCCGUUUGCCAAAAAUAGGCCACGGGCACAGCCGCGCCCAAAAACAGCCCCCGAAGUUCGGGUUCCAAGACCCCCCAGCGGAAAAAUGGCCAAGAAACGGGUGGGCUAUACCCUUGGUGGGUGGCGCCCAAAAGUUCUUCCGCGGGACUCGGAAUGGCACCAGACUUGGCGGGCGGCCUCCGUGUGCCAAAAAUAGGCCACGGGCACAGCCGCGCCGAAAAAACAGCCCCCGAAGUUCGGGGUCCCAAGACCCCCCAGUGGAAAAAUGGCCAAAAAACGGUGGGCUAUAGCCUUGGUGGGGUGCGUGGGCGAAGUUCGUCUGCGGGACUCGGAAUGGCACCAGACUUGGCGGGCGGCCUCCGUUUGCCAAAAAUAGGCCACGGGCACAGCCGCGCCCAAAAAACAGCCCCCGAAGUUCGGGGUCCCAAGACCCCCCAGCGGAAAAAUGGCCAAAAAACGGUGGGCUAUAACCUUGGUGGGGGGCGUGGGCGAAGUUCGUCCGCGGGACUCGGAAUGGCACCAGACUUGGCGGGCGGCCUCCGUGUGCCAAAAAUAGGCCACGGGCACAGCCGCGCCCAAAAAACAACCCCCGAAAUUCGGGGUCCCAAGACCCCCCAGCGGAAAAAUGGCCAAAAAACGGUGG
rnacentral:lncRNA from 1 species